UUGUGCGACAGCCAUGUUGUUUUGUCAAGAAAAGAUCGAUAGCGGCAGAGGGUGACGCCGUGCUGAACGAAGUAGAGCCGGCUUUUUCUUGCGAGAAAUUAAUUAAUCUUGCCAAGAUAUUCUGCACGUAUGAGGGCGAUAACGUGAUUCAAUAAUGAACAAGAUGUCACGCUACCCAUCCGACUGUAAGAUCUAUGUAGGUGAUCUUGGAAGUAAUGCAACAAAGCAGGAGCUGGAAGAUGCCUUCUCGUAUUAUGGUCCUUUGAGAAACGUAUGGGUUGCACGAAACCCUCCUGGUUUUGCGUUUGUUGAAUUUGAAGAUGCACGUGAUGCUGAAGAUGCAGUCAGGGGGUUAGAUGGUCGCACUAUUUGUGGCCGAAGAGCAAGAGUUGAACCUUCGAAUGGGAAAAGACUGAGAGAUCGGGGUGGUCCGUCGAGACGUGGAGGUGGACGUCCUUUCCAUCCAGAGGAUCGAUGCUACGAGUGUGGAGAAAGAGGACAUUAUGCAAGAGAUUGCCCACGGCAUCGUGGAUCUCGUAGGCGCAGGAGAUGCGGCUGAACACAGACACACGCUUGAGAAAUGUGUAUCUACUGAGAUUCUCGCGUGAUUCGACUUGGGUUCACUUUGUGACACACACACUGCGUAGAGUUACAGCGUAGAGCACCCACCUACUUUGGGUUACCUUCUGCACUCUACGAGAAAGCGAGAAAGAGAGCGAGAGAAAGACAGAGAGAAAGAGACAAACAUGGCUGACGGAGUGGCUAGUUCUACGCACUUCGGUACUUCACUGACCACUGACAUCACCCUAGACAAAGAGUUUGCUCACCUCGGCACGUCUGGUAGAUCCAGCCUUCUUCUAUCUGCUCGCAGUUCGCGCCUAGUCGUCGUAGUACCGUACCCUUCACUGAGAGACAGUCUUUGUCCAGCCAUCUCGUCUAGCCACUCUCCGUCCGUACAUCCGUCCAUCUGACCCUCGCGCGAUUUCGUCUACAUAUGUGUUCGCCCACUCUCCCAUUCUCCUGGCCAUUGCCUUCACGCGUUCUUCAGCCGUCUACUAUAGGCUGUCACAAAUUAUGGUCACGAUCACGCUCACGAUCUCGCAGCAAACACUCCAGGUCUCGUUCAGCUUCACGGAGCCGUUCUCGCAGCCGAGGAGGUGGUCGAGAUAGGGACAGGUCUCGCAGUAAGGCCAGAUCUGUAUCUAAAGAUCGCAG